AAAUGCGAUAAGUAAUGUGAAUUGCAGAAUUCAGUGAAUCAUCGAAUCUUUGAACGCACAUUGCGCCCGCCAGUAUUCUGGCGGGCAUGCCUGUCCGAGCGUCAUUUCAACCAUCAAGCCCCCGGGCUUGUGUUGGGGACCUGCGGCUGCCCGCAGGCCCUGAAAACCAGUGGCGGGCUCGCUGUCACACCGAGCGUAGUAGCAAUCACCUCGCUCAGGGCGUGCUGCGGGUUCCGGCCGUUAAACAGCCUUACAAAACCUAAGAUUGACCUCGGAUCAGGUAGGAAGACCCGCUGAACUUAAGC
rnacentral:misc_RNA from 1 species